AGAGUGAACGCUGGCGGUAGGCCUAACACAUGCAAGUCGAACGGCAGCACGGUAAGAGCUUGCUCUUAUGGGUGGCGAGUGGCGGACGGGUGAGGAAUACAUCGGAAUCUACCUUUUGGUGGGGGAUAACGUAGGGAAACUUACGCUAAUACCGCACACGCCCUUCGGGGGAAAGCCGGGGACCAGCAAUGGCCUGGCGCUGAUAGAUGAGCCGAUGUCGGAUUAGCUAGUUGGUGAGGUAAAGGCUCACCAAGGCGACGAUCCUUAGCUGGUCUGAGAGGAUGAUCAGCCACACGUGGGACUGAGACACGGCCCAGACUCCGUAACGGGAGGCAAGCAAGGUAGGGAAUAGUUGGAACAAGUGGGCACAAGCCUGACUCCAGCAAAGUGCCGCGUGAGUGAGUGAAGGCCUUAGGGUUAGUAAAGCCUUACUUUACCCGAGAUGAAUAAU
rnacentral:rRNA from 1 species